GCUGGGUGUGGUGGCGCAUGCCUGUAGUCCCAGCUACUCGGGAGGCUGAGGCAGGAGAAUCGCUUGAAUCCAGGAGGCGGAGGUUGCAGUGAGCCAAGAUUGUGUCACUGCACUCCAGCCUGGGUGACAGAGCAAGACUCUGUCUCAA
rnacentral:SRP_RNA from 1 species